CCUACGGGUGGCAGCAGUGGGGGAUAGUGCACAAUGGGGGGAACCCUGAUGCAGCGACGCCGCGUGGGUGAAGAAGGGCCUCGGCGCGUAAAGCCCUGUCAGCAGGGAAGAAAAUGACGGUACCUGAAGAAGAAGCCCCGGCGAACGACGUGCCAGCAGCCGCGGGAAUACGUAGGGGGCAAGCGUUAUCCGGAUUUCCUGGGUGUAAAGGGGGCGCAGACGGCGAUGCAAGCCCGGAGUGAAAGCCCGGGGCCCAACCCCGGGACUGCUCUUGGAACUGCGUGGCUGUAGUGCAGGAGGGGCAGGCGGACUUCCUGGUGUAGCGGUGACAUGCGUAGAUAUCAGGAGGCACCCCGGUGGCGACGGCGGCCUGCUGGACUGCACCUGACGUUGAGGCCCGCAAGCGU
rnacentral:rRNA from 1 species